rnacentral:rRNA from 1 species
GACGAACGCUGGCGGCGUGCCUAAUACAUGCAAGUAGAACGCUGAAGGAGGAGCUUGCUUCUCUGGAUGAGUUGCGAACGGGUGAGUAACGCGUAGGUAACCUGCCUGGUAGCGGGGGAUAACUAUUGGAAACGAUAGCUAAUACCGCAUAAUAGUAGAUGUUGCAUGACAUUUGCUUAAAAGGUGCAAUUGCAUCACUACCAGAUGGACCUGCGUUGUAUUAGCUAGUUGGUGGGGUAACGGCUCACCAAGGCGACGAUACAUAGCCGACCUGAGAAGGGGAUCGGCCACCCUGGGACUGGGACCCGGCCCAGACUCCUACGGGAGGCAGCAGUAGGGAAUCUUCGGCAAUGGACGGAAGUCUGACCGAGCAACGCCGCGGGAGUGAAGAAGGUUUUCGGAUCGUAAAGCUCUGUUGUAAGAGAAGAAAGAGUGUGAGAGUGGAAAGUUCACACUGUGACGGUAUCUUAUCAGAAAGGGACGGCUAACUACGUG